AGAGAGAAGCUCCUGGCAGUAUUAACAGAGGAAUCAAAGACGUGCAGAAAUGUGGCUCUUCCACUUCUGAAAGGCUGAAGGACUGACUCCAGAUCAGGUGUCACAUUCCUGACUGUGACUUUGUUCUGUCACAUGACUCUCAUGUGACUCCAUCACACCUGUGCAUCACAGACUACAAUCACAGCUUGUGAUGCCAGUUUCUCAAAAGGGCAUCUGAUGUGUUUUAUAAUCAAACAUCACCUGCAAAACCCAAACCUAAUGCAGCUCCUCAAUGUAUUUUAGUCAGAAAGCUUAAUAAAAUCAUAACAGCAGUAAUAAAACACACAUCAGUAACUCACCAGCAGGUCAAAAUCAUCAAUUAGUUCUCAACCAGGAGCUUAAGUUGGCAUCAGAAGAGCACAUCUAUGUCUUUAAUCCCAUCUAACUUCCACAAAAACAUGAAGUCAAUCCGAAUUAAGGCGCAUUUGAACUGAAAACUGCCGCGUUGUGUAUCAGACGCGCUCUGUGCUGACAGUGAGCAGGUGAAGGGGGCGGGGCUUAGCGAGGAUUGCGUGUGCGGGCUGUCAAUCAAAUGAAACCCCGCCUCUGAAACCAAUAGCAACCGGCUUUGAUGCCGGAUGUUUGGAUACAGCUCACGCUGUUUAGUCGGAAUAAAGGUUUUUUUUUUCUAUAAAACAACGCCAUAAAGCUCUUAAUCAGAGCUGCAGACAUGAGUUCAAAGAGACCCAAGAGCAAAGAGGCCCAUAAAAUCAAGAGAAAAGAUAAAAAAAAGGAGAAUAAUUUUCCCACCGCAGAUGAAGGUGCAUCAGAACCUGGAGCUGUGAUCAGAUUAAAGAUACUGAGAUACAAACGACAUGUCUGGAGGCACGUAGCCAGACCUCCUUUCUCUCGUCUUUUGUUCUCAGAGUCCAAUUUCCCUACUUGUCCUACUCAUACAACAUACAUACUUUUCAGUAGGCUACAUAUUGGGACACUACAGCAGUGUGUGGACCUGUUACCACAUCAUAAAAACGCAUCUUGAUACCCUUUUGUAUUUUGUUUGUGUUUGCACUGGGAUAAAAUCAUUACCUUCUGGCCAGAACAAGCUACUGCAUCAUAACAAACUGCUUGUAUCAGUGAAGAUGGGGCUUGUGCAGUCAUAAACCCUCAUUGAAGUCUAACAGGGCUUGUUUAAUAUCCCAGACAGCUUCCUUUUCAUGUUUUCUAAAGGGCACGCGUGUUCGGUUAGUAGAGAAAGUGCAAUUAUGUAAUUAUACGUGCUAUAAACCAUAUGAGUUUCCAUUGCAGUAAAGCGCCAGCGGCUCCUCUGGAUUAAAUGACCUGAAUGCUGUUACCGGCUACAACAUGUUCAGCUGGUUCCUGUUGAGAGAGAUUGUGUUGAUGAGGUCUGGAUUUCCCUAAGGUGUCCAAACCUGUGAUGUCACACACACAAAAUAUAGCAUGCACACACACUUUGAUGUGAAUAGAUAUAGUUGACCUAAAAGGGUUCACACUGCUCAUUUUGUCCUUGUUGAAUUUUAACUCCCUCAGUCACCAUUCAUUAGCAUUGUAUGCUGUAUGCCGGGUCUUACAUCCAUUGGUAGUCUUUCAGGUUCAGUUACGUCACAGAUAGUGCUCUGAAGGGAAGCUGAUGACUCUGUUUGUAUAACACACUCAUUCAAGAGCACAUCUGUCGGUAAAACACUGGACAAAACGGCGGAGAGCUUUUGGUCUCGUCAUACCUGUAAGACAAAACGGUGAAAACCCUCAAUGCAGGAUGCUGGAAAUGUUCCAAAUCAUUUUAGGAUGCAGUACUUAGACUCCCAAUAAUGUAUUUGUAACUUAGCCUUUAAAACAAAGAAGUCUCAAAUGAGAUCACUUUAAUAUCAGUGCUGAGAUUAAACAAAGAGCAACUGGAGAAUUUCGCUGAGUCUCCACACCUAGUAGCCACCCACAACACUCUAGCAACUGCAUAGAAACCCCCUGGAAACCACCCAAAGCACUCUAGCAACUACAUAGCAAGCCCCUGGCAACCACUUACC
ensembl:lncRNA